GUCACCGCGAGGUGAGGUCUGAAGGAAGCGUGGAGCAAAUGCACGGGCCAAUGGACAAAAACCGGAUAAAGAGGCCUACGGCGUUGGGCGAGGAGGCGGUUGAUUCCGAAGCCCAUAUCCAUCAAAGGCGCUGGUGGUAGAUUCGGUGGUCGUGUGCGGAAGGCUGUCGGGC
rfam:Bacterium CG2_30_54_10 isolate CG2_30_54_10 cg2_3.0_scaffold_31153_c, whole genome shotgun sequence.